CAAAUGUCUCUCCCCAUUUUCUCAUUCCUAUGGUUUUGAAUUUAUCACUUAUUUUCAUUGUCGGUAUGGUUUGGAUUUUCUUCAUCAUUUGUAAAAGGAUUCACCAUCUCAAAAUAUCCUUCUUAUUCUGAGGCACAUUUGCCAUGAGAACCUGAUUUAUCCAGCUUUCAAGUCUAAGAGUGAGCCUGUAUAGCCAACAGAGUGACUCUGAAGAGAUGAAGGCCAGAGGCUUACAGGAAGGAGCUACCUGGCAUAGGUGACAAAACAAACAAAGGCAUAGAAGAAGGGAAGAAUGUGAUUGAUAUAACUUCACUGGAGCAUACAAUAUGUGAGGGGAAGAAAAUGUGACAAAUCUAGAAAGGUAAUUUCUAAGAACAUUUAUUUGUCUGCAAAGGAGAGAAUACCAAGCGUCAGAAGACCUGGAUUUUAAUUCCGGUUCCUGUGAGCUGGACGUUCCUUGAAAAACCACCACCUUUCUAGUCUUCCCAAUUAUUCCAUCUUUUAAAUGGCUACAAUUCUACCUGUCUGACCAGCUUCACAGGGGUGUUGUGAGGAAAUCAUUCUGUAAACCUGAAAUUUAGUGUAAUAGAAACAUAAGGAGUAAUUAUUGAUAUUUUGUUAUUAUCACUACUAUUCUUAACAGCAAACUACUCAUGACAGAAUGUUGGAAAAACAAACAGUCGCUAUCUUACCUGUUCAGUGUUUCAAUUUCUCAGCUAAGCCUGGAAUGGCAUAUUCAGUCCCCUUGUACUAGGAUUUUUCUUAAUUUUCCUUUCAGAGAAAAUAAGGCAUGAAAUAAAAAAGUAUGGGGAG